rnacentral:rRNA from 1 species
UACGGAGGAUGCGAGCGUUAUCCGGAUUUAUUGGGUUUAAAGGGUGCGUAGGCGGACUGUCAAGUCAGCGGUAAAAUACGGGGGCUCAACCCCGGCGAGCCGUUGAAACUGUCGGACUAGAGACGGCGAGAAGUACGCGGAAUGCGCGGUGUAGCGGUGAAAUGCAUAGAUAUCACGCAGAACUCCGAUUGCGAAGGCAGCAUACCGGCGCCCUACUGACGCUGAGGCACGAAAGCGUGGGGAUCGAACAGG